rnacentral:rRNA from 1 species
GGAAUAUUGGACAAUGGGCGCAAGCCUGAUCCAGCAACGCCGCGUGGAGGAUGAAGGUCUUCGGAUCGUAAACUCCUGUCAGACGGGACGAAGGUCUGUGGGUGAACAAUCCACGGGUUUGACGGUACCGUCAGAGGAAGCCCCGGCUAACCCCGCGCCAGCAGCCGCGGUAAUACGGAGGGGGCGAGCGUUAUUCGGAAUUAUUGGGCGUAAAGGGCGCGUAGGCGGUUCGAUAAGUCAAAGGUGAAAUCCCUCGGCUAAACUGAGGAACUGCCUUUGAAACUGUCGAGCUUGAGUCCGGGAGGGGGUAGCGGAAUUCCCAGUGUAGCGGUGAAAUGCGUAGAUAUUGGGAGGAACACCGGUGGCGAAGGCGGCUACCUAGACCGGAACUGACGCUGAUGCGCGAAAGCGUGGGUAGCAAA